rnacentral:rRNA from 1 species
AUGCACGCUGGCGGCGUGCCUCAUCCCUGCAAGUCGAGCGCACAGACGAGGAGCUUGCUCCUCUGACGUUAGCGGCGGACGGGUGAGUAACACGUGGAUAACCUACCUAUAAGACUGGGAUAACUUCGGGAAACCGGAGCUAAUACCGGAUAAUAUAUUGAACCGCAUGGUUCAAUAGUGAAAGACGGUUUUGCUGUCACUUAUAGAUGGAUCCGCGCCGCAUUAGCUAGUUGGUAAGGUAACGGCUUACCAAGGCAACGAUGCGUAGCCGACCUGAGAGGGUGAUCGGCCACACUGGAACUGAGACACGGUCCAGACUCCUACGGGAGGCAGCAGUAGGGAAUCUUCCGCAAUGGGCGAAAGCUUGACGGAGCAACGCCGCGUGAGUGAUGAAGGUCUUCGGAUCGUAAAACUCUGUUAUUAGGGAAGAACAAAUGUGUAAGUAACGAUGCACGUCUUGACGGUACCUAAUCAGAAAGCCACGGCUACUACGUG